CUGACAUUUGUUCUAAAAAAUGUCAAAUUAAAAUCAACAACUUGGAAAAUGUGGCAUUGGAUCAAAACAAGCAUAGCAGUUCUCACGUCUCACGCUUCUUUAAACUGGCAUCGUUUGCACUUAGUUUCAACGGUUUAAGCAAAAAUUUUAUGGGAAUCCGCAGGAGAUGUAGUGCUGAUAUUGAAAACAGAACCAUGGAUAAAAUUUGUAAACCCGAUUGUGAAAAUGUAGAUGUUGACCAGUGAAGAGGUGUGUCAGCCGCGUGUUACUAAACGCCUUUUGUCUGAUAUAUUGAACAGUCCUAGUCCUCUUGUGCGAUGACGUCACAGUGACCGGAAGCCAUAUUCUUUACUUAG